AUCUGGCUGGCUCAGUUGGUAGAGCAUUUGACUCUUGAUCUUAGAGUGGUGAGUUCGAGGCCCAUGUUGGAUG
rnacentral:tRNA from 1 species